ensembl:lncRNA
CGGGGCCCCGCCAACCUUCCAGAGGUUGAUGGACCGGGUACUCCGUCCCCAUCGGGGGUACGCGGCCGCCUAUAUUGACGAUAUAGUCAUCCAUGGGAGUGAGUGGGACACUCACGUGAAGCAGGUGAGCGCAGUGUUGCAGGCCUUACGGGAGGCGGGGCUGACGGCUAACCCAAAGAAGUGCCAGCUCGGUCUGCAGGAGGCGGAGUACCUGGGCUACACCAUUGGGAGGGGGGUGUGUGAAACCCCAGAUGAAGAAGGUGGAGGCGAUACAGGACUGGCCACGGCCCCUGACCAAGAAACAGCCAGCCCUCUGACAGAUCUGACCAGGGACCGGCUGCCCGCCCAAGUCACAUGGACCGAGGAGACGGAGAAAGCCUUUCAGGACCUGAAGACCGCACUGUGUUCAGGACCCGUGCUGGUAACCCCGGACUUCACCAAGCCAAUGGUGGUGCAGACGGAUGCGUCGGAAACAGGGGUGGGGGCAGUGUUGUCACAAUUACAUGAAGGUGAGGAACACCCGAUUAUUUUUAUCAGCCGGAAGUUGUUGCCGAGGGAACAAAAAUACUCCACGGUGGAGAAGGAAUGUCUGGCCAUCAAGUGGGCCCUGGAAACCCUGAAGUACUACCUGUUGGGGCGCCACUUCACCCUGGUCACAGAUCAUGCACCACUGGUUUGGAUGUCGAGGAAUAAGGACAGUAACGCCAGGGUCACCCGCUGGUUCCUAUCAUUACAACCUUUUGCCUUCUCGGUUGUUCACAGGUCCGGGGCAGCCCAUGGGAAUGCGGAUGCCCUGUCCAGGAGGGAUGCUCUGGGGAGCUGGACCGCCCCUCCCUCCCGGUCGGAGCUGAGGGGGAGGGUGUGUGGCAGACGCCAGGGAGGGGUGGUGAUUGAGGGGAGGUAUGUGGCAGCAUGCUGGCUCCACCCCCAAGCUUUACAAGGACUGCCUCCCUUAACGAUGCAAGCCUGAGGUGCAUUAGGCAGGAGUGCUUGGGGAUAAAAGGGAGCAUGCAACCACAUGGAGGGAGCCUACUAUGGAGUGCCUCUGCGUGAGCCUCUGCGAACUGUGUGUGGCCAAAGAGAGCAGGAAACCUGAACAUUUACGGAUUAUUUGUGUACCGACCGCUUUGUUUGAGAACCCUCCCGGCGACGACCCCUGGACUACGGACUACAGAUUACGGACUCUGGAUUACCCUUUUCCCCACCCUGGUGACACUUAUUCGUCUAUUCUGAAUGAACCACCUUAUUGAACUGCUCUCGGUGUGUGUGUAUCAUUUGACUUGGUGGCGUGGAAACCCCACACCCACUGGCCCGCUACACUCCGUUAAGUUUGCCUCGCAAAUGAAUAGUGCAGAGGUAAUUUUUCUAGUUAGUGUGGAUAAGGUUCAUAGUGUUGUGGAAACUGGAGUAGUGAUUCUUUAUCACCCUUCUUGCAAGCCCAGCAAGAAGGGUGAUAAAUUUGAACGUUCCUCCAUACAUAAGCAACGAGGCGUUGGGGAGAGAACUGGGCCGGUAUGGACACCUGAAAAAUUGGAAGGACUUGGGGGGGGAAAAUCCCCCCGGGUAGAGCAUGUUUUUACCUACAGAAGAUAUGUUUUCAUGGUCUUAAAAAAUAAUGAAGUCGAUCUCAAUCUAGUCUUGAAAUUCAAGGUGAAAAUUUUUGAUCACACAGUCUUGGCCACUUCGGACAAUUUGAUGCGUUUAAAGUGCGGACAGGAGGGGCAUUUUGCCCGUUUUUUUUUUCUCUUCUUCCGAUGAGUCUGAUACAGAAUUGAUGAAUUAUUCUCAACCCCAAGAACAAGAAGAUAGCCCUACUGAUUAUUCUUUUGAAAGAAGUACUUCCCUGUUCUGAAUGCUUGUAUUGAGUCCGUAAAACAUAUUGGCUUGAAAACAGGGGCGGGGUGGCCGUCGGGAUGAUCGGGAGAUUUCCCGGUCGGCUGGCCAGCCAGCGAGGUCAGGUGGACCGGCCCGCAAUUGUUGUGAGCGGCCUGCGAAGUCAGUUGGACCGGCCCACAAUUAUUGUGAGCGUCCACGAGGCGUCUGCAAGCCGGUCCCGAGCAUAAUCUAUUCCCCUACAAGACGCUGUGAAAAUCCCCAAAAUAAACAAUAUAAAUCUCGGGAACAUCCAACCAAUAUUUAUACCACUUGCUUUUGCUAUGUCUCAUUCAUGGUCUUUUUUUAUAUAAUUUUUUUUUACUUCAUUUAAUUCUUCAUUAUUCAGCCGUUACAGAACUAUCAUGGCCAUAAAUAAAAAAUACGAACUACAGUUUAAUUUGAUUUAUUUGUUCUUGAUUUGACGU